GUUAUUUUAGCUACAAAGUUUCAACACAAAGGAGGUGAGAAGUUGAACCCACCAAUGACUUAGAUUGACAUGGUUGAUAGGAGCAAUGCUAAAGGAGUCUUCAUUGACAAGUGUGAGAAUUUUAAGUGCCCGAAGUGAUAUCUACUCGAGUUGCACCUGUAAUCGAUCAUCGACGUUAAUAGUUGAAGGAUGUUUUAGCUGAUCUUUUCCCUCUCUUGGUCUCUGUUUUGCUCAACUCCGUUGGAACUCAUCGGGGUUAUUGUAGAUGGUGAAGAUGACAAGAGUAAAGUAGAGACUUUCCACAUACUUUCCUUUUUCGUACUUUCUAGAUUUUCCUUUUCCCUUUUGUUUAUCUAGCUGACUUUAUCGGGUUGGGACUAUUUUCGAUCCAAUCUGCUUUUGUACAUAUUAUUCUAUCUAAUGGAAGACCAACUUUUGGCCCGUCUGAUUACAAAAAUCGGAGGAAACAAUUUGUAAUUUUUUAUACUUAUUUAUGAUCCACAUUGUGAUUCUUUUUAUUGAGUUUACUUUAGAUUGACGUUUGAUUAUUUAAUAUAAACGAUGUAGCAUCAGAAGGAAAGCAACUGUCCUGAAGAGCCGAAGAAGAAAAGG
rnacentral:lncRNA from 1 species